rnacentral:rRNA from 1 species
CCUACGGGAGGCAGCAGUGAGGAAUAUUGGUCAAUGGACGAGAGUCUGAACCAGCCAAGUAGCGUGAAGGAUGACUGCCCUAUGGGUUGUAAACUUCUUUUAUAAAGGAAUAAAACGAGGCACGUGUGCCUUUUUGCAUGUACUUUAUGAAUAAGGAUCGGCUAACUACGGGCCAGCAGCCGCGGUAAUACGGCGGAUCCGCGCGUUAUCCGGAUUUAUUUGGUUUAAAGGGAGCGUAGAUGGGUUGUUAAGUCAGUUGUGAAAGUUUGCGGCUCAACCGUAAAAUUGCAAUUGAUACUGGCAGUCUUGAGUACAGUUGAGGUAGGCGGAAUUCGUGGUGUAGCGGUGAAAUGCUUAGAUAUCACGAAGAACCCCGAUUGCGAAGGCAGCUUACUAGACUGUGACUGACAUUGAUGCUCGAAAGUGCGGGUAUCAAACAGGAUUAGAUACCCGAGUAGUC